AAUAGCCAGCCUGGUUGCUGUAGCCACAGAGGAAUUUUCAAGGGCAAGAACCACUGCUGGUAAAACUGUGGUCUCGUGUGGUUUUCCAUACCGGCUCUCGGCAAGGAUUUUCAAGAAAGGAAUACCAUCUCCAAAUCAUGAUGUGCCAAUAAGCUCCAGUUAGCUGCGGCCUUUUCCCCAGGCGGUACUCAUGCAAUCUGAAUCCAGGAGAUGCAGCUCUGAAUCCAAUAUUUCAGAAGAAUGAAGAUGCACCGGAUUUCUCGAUGACGUUAUAACCAAUAAUUUACACUGAACCCGGAUCAGAUGCAAGCGUCUAGAUGGUCGAGAUUCUCAAGUCACAUGAUUUUAAAAUGGCGCGAGGCACAAAAUUAAAAAGUUAAUUUUUGAAUACUUGCUCCGGAGAUGGCUGUGCAAGACUGGUCAUGCCAAAAUCAUUGUUGAUUUUGACCUGUUGCGCUGCUAUGUGAGCCACACUAUCGGGCCGAGUUACAACAUGACUUUAACAGAAGGUGCUCUGUACUACAGCUACAGAAAUGUCAUGCAACAGACACUUAUCAGAAAGAAUUCCAUCCGCACCUUGGGUUUAUGAUGUGUGCAUUCUGGUAAAACAGGGUACCCACCUAAAGAAGGCACUCAUAUUGCAAUACGAAGAUCCUUGGUUGGACGUUUGCAAUGCCAAGCAAUUCCAAGCUGAUUUCCACAGAGAACAAAGUUGCCAGAAAGAAACUGUGCUCUACCGAUGCGUGCAACAAAUAAAAACCUUCCAAUGAUGUUAUGUUAUCAGAUUGCAGUAUUGUACAAAUCGGCUUCCUGCUCUGAAUUCCUGGCUUGUUCUAAUAGAAAAUGGCAGAUGAGGCAGCGGAUCUUGCCUACUGUUUCAUCUGCAGAACAACCAUGCAGGCUUGUAAGGCUGGGAACACCAAGGCGGAGGGUGGCUUUAUCACUGUGGGAUUAAACAACUGGCGGGACAGACCAAUGAAGUUGCUAAUCAACAAGAACUCUGAAUGCCACUAGGAAGUGAUGGAAAGACACAUAAAACUACCCUGACAGACCUAGGUCAUUGGAAAUGUAUUUCAGUUGAAGCUUCUGUUUAGAUGUCAUCAAUGGGAAGGUUGAUGGUUUUACCAGAAAGGACAUGGGUUUGACAAACUGUCAACAAAAGCUUCAAAGGGAAACUUCCCUAUGUGUACAAGUGUUGAUGGUGUUUAUCGUGACGGUGCACUGCUAGUUUGCCAUCUGUGUGUGCCACAAUGCUCGGAAGAAGCAGCCCCUCCUACUGGGUGGAUACCCGUCGGGAAUCUACAGCACUUACACCAUCUCCUGCAGGACAACGAUGACGAUGAUGAACUCUGAUCUUAUGAUCUGUUGUUAAUUAUUUAAAAGGCUGUUUAGAAUUCAUGUUUGAGUUUUGUUUUUUCAAACAUGUAGUGUUUUUUGAAAGAUAAAAAAGUUACGUGAUGUCAAAGCCUCGUUGUUGUUGGCUUCUUUUUCAGGCCAAAGUUUUAUGUUAAUUGUUCUAGUCCUAACUUAAAAUGAUAUUAACAGGAAACUUGGUACGUGUUAUCAGUGCAAAGUUAUUCCUCCUGAUGAACUCAGAGGAAAAUAGAUGAGCAUAUUUGUGGUGCUAUAUUGAUAGAUCAUCUAUAUUGAUGGAUUAACAACCAAAUGCAUUACAGUUUAAACUAAAAACUGUCACUGAAAGUGCUACCCACUAAACAUGAAAUGUAUUCAUUCCAAUUAGGACUAAAAUCAAGUGCAGUUUGCAGAAAUGUAAGGGACAUGUACAGUAUGCAUCAUUUUAAGCUGGUCUGUUUUAGCAUAAAACAGUUAAGGUUUUGUCAUUGCCUUGGUGUUGUUAUCAGCGGAUAUGUUGUGCAGAAACUUUACCCUUGGCCAUACUUUCCAAACCAUUGAAGACAAUCCAAAGUCUUUUCACAUGUAUAGUAAGGCCCAUAACUCUGGCUUUAAUAACUGUUGAGUUAUGCCCCUUGUUUGUCUGAAAAUCACCAACAGACAAACAUUGGGCUGGUGUCACUGCUUCUUGUUAAAAUUGUUGUUAUAAAUUAUUUUGGGGUAUUUAUUUUGGUAAUAAUUUCAUUGCUUUGAUGUUCCUGUACCCGAUUGAACAUGUGUCUAGAGUAUGGUUUCCUCUCUACGAGAUUGAAUCUCCUAAUUUGGUGUGUUAUAUACAUAUAAUACAAAUUUAAAAUAUUGGACCACUUGUUCAGAACUUUGUUAAAGUUAACAAUGUGGUUAAUGCCUUUGUUGUUAACCUUUAAAGGUGAAGUAUUUGAUAUCAUGCUCUAAAAUUUAAAUGAAAUAAGUACACCUGAAACAGAUGUUAAAAAUACUGCAGAUCAAAAGUAUAUCCAUGAAAUUUGCACAGCUGUUAAAAUUAGAAAGCUUACAACAUGAUGUUAACAAGGCUGUUAAAAUUAACAAAGUUCUGAACAAAUAGCCGAUUAUUUUAAUACUUCGGCAAAACAUUGUAUGAAGUUUUAUUCUUAGAAGCCAUCUUCAGAGUAUAUAAUAAUUGAUGCUUUUUAUAUAUAUGUUAAUUUACAUGAAAAAUAGGAUCUAAGUACUAUUACCACUUUUAUUGUACACUAGCAUGCCACAUAUUAUGCUCUUUUGUAGGACAUUGUUGAUUCAAUUUUAAGAACUUUUAUAACCUACUAUUUAUUGAGUGUUUUAAUUAUUUAAAUGAAUUAUUGUUUAUAUGAUUAUCAUGCAAUGACUUAUUUGUAUUUUCGCAUAUAUCUAGCACAAUAUUAUCAAAUUUACCAACUUAGAUUGACUUUGAUAUUGCUGUAAAAACAUUUAGUUGCAUAAGACUUUCAAUUGAUACAGUAUUAAGGACAUUUGAAAUGUCUGUCUGAUGUUUGCCUGCCUGUCUGUCUGACUGCCUGUGUCUGAUGUCUGCCUGCCUGUGUCUAUGACUUGUCGAUGUUUGUUUGUAUGUCUGUCUGUCUAUCUGCCUGAUGUCUAUCAUAUUUUGCCAGUCUGUCUGCUAUCUGUCUUUCGAUGUCUGUUUUAUUCCUGCCAGUCUUUCUGAUGUGUGCCUGCCUGAGUCUGAUAUCUGUCUGUCAGAUGCCUGUCUGUGACUGGUAACUGUCUGUCUGAUGUCUGCCUGUCUAUUUGUAAUUCUGAUUGAUUAUAUGUGUUGAUGAUAUGAUCAAUAAUGUAUUAUGUCUGAAAGCAAAUACCUUUCUUGUAACUAUGAUACCAAAUUAUUACCCAAAUGUCCAAAAAUAAAUGAAAUAAAGGAUUUUGCUUGUCUUAAGAUUAAAUAAAAUUGUAAUUUGACUGUAAAAUUCUUUUCAAUUUUGUGAUUGAAUCCAGUAAAUGACACAUUAACAAAUUAUCAAGCUGAUUAUAUUUUGGGUCUUACUACCUUAAUUAAGUUAUCUCCCUUUAACCAUGAUUGGUCUUUGGACAAGAACCAUAAUCCUGCCCUGCAUAUUUAUUAGUAACCUCCCUUUACCUGAUAUUUAAAAAAAUGGGUACUUGUCCAGACCAUAUCUUGGAAAAUACUAAAUUGAUUCAUAUGAAACUUGAAAUGAAGAUAGAUGGCAAAAUGAGGAAUAGCAUAAACAAAGAACCAUAAUCAUGCCCUGCAUUUUUUAGUUAUUCCUUACCGUUUAUGAAAAUCUGAUGUCCGGGCCAUAUUUUGGAUAUUUAAGAAUUUCCAUAACUGCUUUUUUAUUUCAUUUCUUGAAAAAUACUUUUAUAUUUAAUUCUUAUACCUGCCCAUAUCUUCAUUCCAUGUCAUGGAUUCUUCCAACUGUGUAUAAUAAUGCUACAACAAUUUACCUUCUACGAGCAAAUUGAAUGACAUAUUUCUGCCUUUUCAUAGAAAAUCUGAAGAGCAUCGCUUCCAGCGAUAUUCUUGUGAAACGAAGUCCUUUUAAGCUCGGCCGUACUAAGAAUAAGGUGGCUUUACUACUUGCUCCAGUGUCGGCGUUCGUUAAUGGUUUUAGGGCAAGUUGGCAUUUUCACUUGCAACUCCGAUACCCUUCAUUUUAUUAACUUAAUACUUCACACAGUUGUUAAGGACCACCACACAAUGAGGGCACAUUGAGUCUGGUUUUGAGUUUUAUAGCAAGUUGGAAUUUUUUAAUGUAUUCUAUGACCUUCAUUCAAUUGAAUAAAUACUUCACAUUGUUAAAGGUCAUCACACAAUUAUGUUACAUAACUCCAUAAUAUCCUUAAUACAAAUUAAGGCCCUUGAUCAACUUACUUUCUUAGAAAGUUUUGAUUAAGUUUUUGAGCAACUUUAUUUUUACUGAGAUCUUAAAUACCAAUCAUUCCAUCUACUUCAUACAUAGAACCAUCACAUAAUUAGGUUACAUAACUCUAUAUUAACCUUAUUACAAUUUGUAGCCCUUGAUUAAAUUCUUUUUUCAUUGCUUUUGAUGGCACAUUUUUUGUUUUACCGAAGUGAAACAUGGGUAUUAGAAUGACGUACGUCGUUGUUCGGGCAGGCCGCUGGGAGGGCUGUGUAAAACUAACUAUGAUUUCGAAUAAUAUUUGAUAAAACGGAAAAAAAUAAUCACGUAAUUGCCGUUUUAUUUGUUAUUUUCAGUACGAUAAGAGGGACGAAAAAAUAGAAAAACAAAGAAAUUGAGUACGAAUAAGAUCAGUCGUCAUUGGUCGUUGAAAGGCAAUUGACACCAAUGAUAAGGCUUUUAGCAUACAUAUGACAUCAGGAUGAUGGCGAUGAUAUCCGUUUAUUUCCGCAUUCAUUUUCUAGUAAAAGGCAGUGUAUUACAGGAAAAAAUAGAUUAUUAGAGAUGUCCAUUCUGUUUGUUAAAGUCGUCUGAGUUGCUGCUGAAGAGGAGAAGGCAGUUGAUACUUAUGAUGUGCUUUAAUCUUCUACUAUCUGUGGUUGUACAAGAUGUCUUGAUAAAUAGGGUGAAGCUGUCCAUGUCUUCCUAUUGUUUUUGCAAAACACAAGACACAGAUUCGGUUCAAGAACAGACCUACAAUAAAUCAAGUGUGAUCAAUGUGAAUGAAAACUAUCCUUGACCGCAAGCACUAAAGAAAUGCACACAAGUGCAUACAUACAUACAUUUGGAACAAAAAUUAAGACGUCUAUAUAAAACUGACAUUAUGACACAAGAUGUGAAACAACAUUUCAAAUGCUAAAAAUAGUCCAACUAGAGAUUUUCAUAGAGUAUCAUGACUGUUUAACCCUUGCAAAAUUAGCUUUUAAAGGGUCUGUGUAUACUGAAGACAUUGUUACUGUUUUAUAUAACGUUUUAUCUUAUUAUUAAAUUGUAAAAAUUAGUAAUUAAUAUUUUUGUCCAUGAUCUUUUAAGUCCAGUGUCUGUUUAACUCUCAUGGUUUUUGAAGACAUAAAAAAUCCAGGUAAUGUUUGUGGGCAAGAACUGGCCGCCUGGUUAACUUUGUUGGUUACUAAAGAGCACCGUGCUAGUGUACCUGCAGUCCUCGAUUCGAGCCCCACAGCGGAAGCACAUUUUCCUUACAUGUUACUUUAGUAUUGUAAUAGUAAAAACGCAUAGGUGUUGUCAGUGUAGGCA